rnacentral:rRNA from 1 species
UGCGUAGGCGGGUCUUUAAGUCAGGGGUGAAAUCCUGGGGCUCAACUCCAGAACUGCCUUUGAUACUGAAGAUCUUGAGUUCGGGAGAGGUGAGUGGAACUGCGAGUGUAGAGGUGAAAUUCGUAGAUAUUCGCAAGAACACCAGUGGCGAAGGCGGCUCACUGGCCCGAUACUGACGCUGAGGCACGAAAGCGUGGGGGAGCAAACA